rnacentral:rRNA from 1 species
GUGCCAGCCGCCGCGGUAACACGUAGGGGGCAAGCGUUGUCCGGAUUUAUUGGGCGUAAAGAGCUCGUAGGUGGCUCGGUAAGUCGGGUGUGAAAUUUCGAGGCUCAACCUCGAGACGCCACCUGAUACUGCUGUGGCUAGAGUCCGGUAGGGGAGCGUGGAAUUCCUGGUGUAGCGGUGAAAUGCGCAGAUAUCAGGAGGAACACCAGCGGCGAAGGCGGCGCUCUGGGCCGGUACUGACACUGAGGAGCGAAAGCGUGGGGAUCAAACAGGAUUAGAAACCCCCGUAGUCC